rnacentral:lncRNA from 1 species
UUAUUAGUCCCCAAGGACUGUAUGGGUGUGUAUACUGUGAUUGGUUGACAUCUUCCUGAGUCUUCUGUCAGCUUUGUUACACCCUGUUAGGGCAGGACAAAAUAUACCUUCACCAUUCGUGUGGGGAAUUUAGAUUUGUGGCCUCAUGGAGUUUCAUCAACGCUUAAGCCCCACCCACUAAACCUGAGCAGAAGUCUAAUCAGCCCAUAAUAACUGAAAACACCUGUGUGGAUGUUCACUUAGAGCCUCUAAUUGUAUUUGUAGAACUAAAGCCAAAGCUGUCUCAUUAAACAUUUCUCUGCAGUUUUAAAUGCCACCAAAGUCAGUCCUCUUAAGGAUGCCCUCAGCAUGUUCACUUCAUAUACAUAUUGAAAAUGAUUUUGAGACAUUUAAUUGCAAAACUUCAGGAUGCAUUAGAUAAGCUUAGGUCAAUAAAGCUGCCAUCAAAUGCACUAAUAAUUGGCAAUUGUGUUUUUAGGACAUAUUGCUACAGACUAAUUAACAUUCGUAAUGUCCUGUUUUUUUGAAAAUGUAUUACUUUGUCUUACAGGACGUGGUGUAUUUGCCCUAUCUUCAUUCUUCAAAGGAGAUUUUGUACUGGAAUACAGAGGAGACAUGAUAGAUGAUGCAGAAUCUCAAUGGAGAAGGUGCAUUUAUCACUCAUCAUGUGUUGCAUUCAUGCUUCAUUCAAGUGGAGAGGGAGAACAUGGUGAUGACCAUGAAUGCAGCUGAUGCUGUCAUUCCUGUGGAAAGCUCCCACCAUGCUGUCUUGUUAGAGACGCAGAUGAUUGAAACUUUGAGUCCAUGAGACACUAAUCAACAGGUACAUUCAUGUUUAGCACUUAAACUUUACUCCUAGAAUAUUUCUAACUCAAAACAAGUUGCUUUUUAUGCCCUUUUAAAGCAGGUAAAUAAGCUGUUUUUUAAAUGCAUCUAGAAACAUAAUGGUAAUAGGAUAUUCAGGACAGAUUUUAAUGUUCAUAGGGAUGUUACUUUUGAUUAAAUAUCACUCUAUUCUGGGACAGUCACGACGUCCCCAUAGCACAUCUUACAUCAGUGUAUGAAUAGAAACUG